rnacentral:lncRNA from 1 species
CUCCAAACUUAAGUUUAUAAACCUGCAAUAAAAUUUUAUCAUCGUUUUUACUUGUAUAAGUCAACUAAAUGGUCCAUCCCUUUUGUUUUACUUUCAAUGUUGUAAUUCUGCUUUUUUUGUCGAAACUGCGACUAUUGUCGCAAAAGCAAUAGAGAUAUAGCAAACCAUUCUGUCAUCAGAAGCGUCCACAAGAUUUUCAAGAUUUCAAGAUCCUUUAUUUCUCAA